UGAGUAACCUGCCCUUCACUCUGGGAUAACUCCGGGGAAAACCGGGGCUAAUACUGGAUAUGACUCGAACAGGCAUCUGUUUCGGGUGGAAAGAUUUAUUGGUGGAGGAUGGACCCGCGGCGCAUUAGCUAGUUGGUGAGGUAACGGCUCACCAAGGCAACGAUGCGUAGCCGACUGAGAGGGUGAUCGGCCACAUUGGAACUGAGACACGGUCCAGACUCCGUACGGGAGCA
rnacentral:rRNA from 1 species